CCUUUUCUAUGUAUAAUUUCUCCCUUUUUUGCUUGCCAUAACUUUUCUGUAUAAUUCUUUUUUUCUUUUGGGAGCCACAAAAAAUCUCCCUUGGCCUCUGAGAAGAGGAAAUAAAAGGGUGUUCCAAAAAAAAACAGGCAAGUCUCCUUAACUCGCUAAACAAAAUCAUGAUCUGUUAAUAUUUUGUUUUGCUUUCUUAUCACCUAGAUCGACAUGAUUUGCAUAUCUUGAAGACUAAUGGAGCACGAGAAGAAGGAAAGAAUAGUUCAGUUUUUGGCAAAAUGUUCACUUCAGCUUGAGAUGUUAAGAUCUGCGAAUUCUUUUCUCAAGAUGAAGGAACAAAGCAAAAAGGAGACUAAUUUUUUUCAUUUAGCCUUAAAGAUCUGAUUGAUAUUUAGAUAGCUGUAACUUGGAAGCUAGUGGAAGCUCGUGGUUUU